CGACGCAUGAACAAAAUAACAAAAAAGAAAUGAACAACCACCACGAAAGCCACAUCUGAAGCAUAAACCACGAGCUACCUCAUUAACAUAGGGCCAGAUCUUGGUGAGAUGCGAGUUAAGCCAUCUCAACUUCUGGCUGGAAGAGAAAACGACCCAGGAAGGGUAGAACUGAGGCGGCAAGAUCUUUCUAGAAUCUUCGACGGUCAUCCUGGCGAAGGCGGCGAUGGUGGUGGCGAGCUGGGAGCGUUGGGCGGCCCGAGCAUUCUCGCAGCGGACGAAGCCUACUAUGAUGCCCAGGCCCACGACAAUUCCGACCACCACUCCGAAAACGAAGCCCAUCGAGAGAGUGUGAAAA